UACGUAGGUGACAAGCGUUGUCCGGAUUUACUGGGCGUAAAGAGCGCGCAGGCGGUCGAUCAAGUCGAGUGUGAAAGCCCCCGGCUCAACUGGGGAGGGUCAUUCGAUACUGAUCGACUCGAAGGCAGGAGAGGGUAGUGGAAUUCCCGGUGUAGUGGUGAAAUGCGUAGAUAUCGGGAGGAACACCAGUGGCGAAAGCGACUUUCUGGGGCAUUCCUGACGCUGAGGUUCGAAAGCUCGGGGAGCAAACAGG
rnacentral:rRNA from 1 species